AUGUCUGAUCCGAUGGACGACGCCAAGCCGCGGAACCUUGGCGGCUCGCUGCCCGUGCCCAACGUGCAGGCCCUCGCCGCCCGGACCGACGAGCUCGCGCUCACGCCCACCCUCCUCCGCCGCUACGUGCGGCCUCAGCCCAACACGGUCGACCUGCGCCCCGACGCCCCCGCCGGCGCGGAGCAGGAGCAUGUCCCCGUCAUCGACCUGGGCCGGCUCCUCGCAGGCGGACGGGAUGAGGAGGCCGCCAGGCUGCGCUCGGCGUGCGAGGACUGGGGCUUCUUCCAGGUGGUGAACCACGGGAUACCUGAGGAGAUCCUGGAGGAGAUGAAGAGGAACGUCAUGGAAUUCUUCGCGCUCCCGCUGGCGGAGAAGGCGGCCCUCGCGCAGGAGCCCGGGGGAGUCGAGGGGUACGGCCAGGCGUUCGUCGUCUCGGAGGAGCAGACGCUCGACUGGGCGGACAUGUUAUUCCUCCUCACGCAGCCGCCCAGCUACCGCGAUCUCCACCUCUGGCCGUCCCGCCCUUCCACCUUCAAGAAUUGUUUGGAGAGCUACUCUGUUGAGGUGCAAAGAGUGGCAGGCGAGCUGCUGGGAGCCAUGGCGGAGAACUUGGGCGUGAGAGACCAUUCGGACUUGACAAGGCUCGCGGCGUCACAGUCAGUGAGGAUGAACUACUACCCGCCUUGCCCGGAGGCACACGUGGACAGGAUGCUGGGCCUGUCGCCGCACUCGGACGCCGUCGGGCUGACGCUGCUGCUGCAGGUCAGUCCGGUCCCCGGGCUGCAGAUCAGGAGGAACGGUGGCUGGCUCCCGGUCACGCCUCUCCCCGGCGCCCUCAUCGUCAACGUCGGCGACGUGAUUGAGGUGUUGACCAACGGGAAGUACAAGAGCGUCGAGCACAGGGCGGUGGUUAACACACGCGAGGAGCGGAUGUCCAUGGCGACGUUCCACAACGGGAAUUUCGGCACCACGUAUGGGCCACUGAAGGAGGUCGUCGGAGAAGAGGAGCCGCGGUACAGGAAUGUCAGCGUCGAAGAGUACACCAAGCUCGUGUUCUCCAGCAAGCUCGACGGCAAGAACAUCAUGGAUGCCAUGAAGAUCAACUGA
rnacentral:rRNA from 1 species